rnacentral:misc_RNA from 1 species
GAUGAAGAACGUAGCGAAAUGAGAUACGUAAUGUGAAUUGCAGAAUUCAGUGAAUCAUCGAGUCUUUGAACGCACAUUGCGCCCCCUGGUAUUCCGGGGGGCAUGCCUGUCCGAGCGUCAUUGCUGCCCUCAAGCACGGCUUGUGUGUUGGGCCUCCGUCCUCCUCCCGGGGGACGGGCCCGAAAGGCAGCGGCGGCACCGCGUCCGGUCCUCGAGCGUAUGGGGCUUCGUCACCCGCUCUUGUAGGCCCGGCCGGCGCUUGCCGACACAUCAAUCUUUUUUCCAGGUUGACCUCGGAUCAGGCAGGGAUACCCGCUGAACUUAAGCAUAUCAAUAAGCGGAGGA